GCUACAAGUGAGACACCCCUGGGGAGACCCGACCCCAUGGCUUCCCUGAAGAGCCCCUGGUGGCUGCUAAUGUGGCUGGUCUUCAUGCACUCUGCCCUCCUGCAGACCACAGCAGAGAAGUCUCCUGGGGCCUACUUCCUUCCUGAGUUUGCACUUUCCCCUCAGGGGAGUUUUCUGGAGGACACGACCGGGGAGCAGUUCCUCACGUAUCGCUAUGACGACCAGACCUCAAGAAACACUCGUUCAGAUGAAGAGAAAGAUAGCAACUGGGACGCUUGGGGAGACUGGAGUGACUGCUCGAGGACUUGUGGGGGAGGAGCCUCAUAUUCUCUGCGGAGAUGUUUGACUGGCAGGAAUUGUGAAGGGCAGAAUAUUCGGUACAAGACAUGCAGCAAUAAUGACUGCCCUCCGGAUGCAGAGGACUUCCGAGCCCAGCAGUGUUCAGCCUACAAUGAUGUUCAGUACCAGGGACGUUAUUAUGAAUGGCUUCCACAGUACAACGACCCUGCCACCCCCUGCGCGCUCAGGUGUCAGGCCCGGGGACAAAACUUGGUGGUGGAGCUGGCACCCAAAGUCCUGGAUGGGACACGGUGCACUGCUGACUCCUUGGACAUGUGUAUCAGUGGCAUCUGCCAGGCAGUGGGCUGCGACCGGCAACUGGGGAGCAACGCUAAGGAGGACAACUGUGGUGUCUGUGCUGGUGACGGUGCCACCUGCAGGCUGGUGCGGGGACAGUCAAAGUCACACGUGUCUCCUGAAAAAAGGGAAGAAAAUGUAAUUGCUGUUCCUUUGGGAAGUCGAAGUGUGAGAAUUACAGUGAAAGGACCUGCACAUCUCUUUAUUGAAUCAAAAACACUUCAAGGAAGCAAAGGAGAGCACAGCUUUAACAGCCCUGGAGUUUUUGUUGUAGAAAACACAACAGUGGAAUUUCAGAAGGGCUCAGAGAGGCAGACCUUUAAGAUUCCAGGACCUCUGAUGGCUGAUUUCAUCUUCAAGACCAGGUACACUGUGGCUAAGGACAGUGUGGUCCAGUUCUUCUUCUACCAGCCAAUCAGCCAUCAGUGGAGACAAACUGACUUCUUUCCCUGCACUGUGACAUGUGGAGGAGGGUAUCAGCUCAAUUCUGCUGAAUGCGUGGAUAUCCGCUUGAAGAGGGUGGUUCCUGACCAUUAUUGCCAUUACUACCCUGAAAAUGUGAAACCAAAACCCAAACUGAAGGAAUGCAGCAUGGAUCCUUGCCCAUCAAGCGAUGGAUUUAAAGAGAUCAUGCCCUAUGACCACUUCCAGCCUCUCCCUCGCUGGGAACAUAACCCUUGGACUGCAUGUUCAGUGUCUUGUGGAGGCGGGAUUCAGAGACGGACCUUUGUGUGUGUGGAAGAGUCCAUGCAUGGAGAGAUACUUCAAGUGGAAGAAUGGAAGUGCAUGUAUGCACCCAAACCCAAGGUGAUGCAAACCUGCAAUCUGUUUGACUGUCCCAAGUGGAUUGCCAUGGAGUGGUCUCAGUGCACAGUGACUUGUGGCCGAGGGUUACGUUAUCGAGUUGUGCUGUGCAUCAACCACCGUGGGCAGCACGUUGGCGGCUGUAACCCACAACUGAAGUUACACAUCAAAGAAGAAUGUAUCAUUCCCAUCCCCUGUUAUAAACCAAAAGAAAAAAGCCCAGUGGAAGCUAAAUCACCUUGGCUGAAGCAAGCUCAAGAACUAGAAGAGACCAGAAUAGCAACAGAAGAACCAACGUUCGUUCCGGAGCCGUGGUCCACCUGCAGUGCCACAUGUGGGCCAGGUGUUCAGGUGCGAGAGGUGAAGUGCCGCGUGCUCCUGACCUUCACGCAAACUGAGACCGAGCUGCCAGAGGAAGAGUGUGAGGGCCCCCGGCUGCCCACAGAGCGGCCCUGCCUCCUGCAGCCCUGUGAUGAGAGCCCUGCAGCCCGAGAGCUGGCCGCCUCCCUGCAGGAGCAGGACAGUGAGACGACCUACGACUGGGAAUACGCUGGCUUCACCCCCUGCACCGCCACCUGUUUGGGAGUGCCCACCAAGAUGGCCCUGCGUUCCACCUCCAGGAGGCCUGGACCCCCCGGCAUGAUUUUCUGCUUUUUUGGCCAUCAAGAAGCCAUUGCAGUGUGCUUACACCUGCAGACCCAGCAGACGGUCAAUGACACCUUGUGUGAUAUGGUCCACCGCCCUCCGGCAAUGAGCCAGGCUUGUAACACAGAGCCCUGCCCACCCAGGUGGCACAUGGGCUCUUGGGGACCCUGCUCAGCUACCUGUGGUGUUGGCAUCCAGACUCGAGAAGUGUACUGCCUGCACCCUGGGGAGUCCCCCUCCCCACCUGAGGAAUGCAGAGAUGAGAAACCCCAUGCCUUACAAGCAUGCAACCAGUUUGACUGCCCUCCUAGCUGGCAUAUUGAAGAGUGGCAGCAGUGUUCCAGGACCUGCGGAGGGGGAACGCAGAAUCGCAGGGUCACCUGUCGGCAGCUCUUAACGGAUGGCAGCUUCUUGAAUCUCUCCGAGGAACUGUGCCAAGGACCCAAGGCCUCAUCCCGUAAGUCCUGUGCCAGGACAGACUGUCCUCCACACUGGACUGUGGGAGACUGGUCCAAGGUAAGGGCCAUCCCAACUUUACAGCCCCUUCUUUUCUGCUCCUCCUCCCUUUCAGCCUUUUAG
rnacentral:lncRNA from 1 species